UACAGAGGGUGCGAGCGUUAAUCGGAAUUACUGGGCGUAAAGCGCGCGUAGGCGGCUUUGCAAGUCGGGUGUGAAAUCCCCAAGCUCAACUUGGGAACUGCAUUCGAGACUGCAUUGCUAGAGUAUGGGAGAGGGAAGUGGAAUUUCAGGUGUAGCGGUGAAAUGCGUAGAUAUCAGGAGGAACGCCGGAGGUGAAGACGACUCUCUGGCCCAAUACUGACACUGAGGAGCGAAAGCCAGGGGAGCAAACGGG
rnacentral:rRNA from 1 species